UAGGGAAUCUUCCACAAUGGACGAAAGUCUGAUGGAGCAACGCCGCGUGAGUGAAGAAGGUUUUCGGAUCGUAAAGCUCUGUUGUAAGGGAAGAACACGUACGAUAGUCACUGAUCGUACCUUGACGGUACCUUACCAGAAAGCCACGGCUAACUACGUGCCAGCAGCCGCGGUAAUACGUAGGUGGCAAGCGUUGUCCGGAAUUAUUGGGCGUAAAGCGCGCGCAGGCGGUCCUUUAAGUCUGAUGUGAAAGCCCACGGCUCAACCGUGGAGGGUCAUUGGAAACUGGAGGACUUGAGUACAGAAGAGGAAAGCGGAAUUCCACGUGUAGCGGUGAAAUGCGUAGAGAUGUGGAGGAACACCAGUGGCGAAGGCGGCUUUCUGGUCUGUAACUGACGCUGAGGCGCGAAAGCGUGGGGAGCAAACAGGAUUAGAUACCCUGGUAGUCCACGCCGUAAACGAUGAGUGCUAAGUGUUAGGGGGUUUCCGCCCCUUAGUGCUGCAGCUAACGCAUUAAGCAGCUCCGUCCUGGGGAUGCGGCCGCAAGGCUG
rnacentral:rRNA from 1 species